GUGGUCAAAAAUGAACUCCCUGUUGCUCCAAUGGUCACUUUUCAUCACAGUCUUUCUGACCUUCCCAUUGCGUCUGACACUGCUUCAUGAGAUGGCAGCGACAACGUUGAGUUGCAAGGCCCCUGUGACACAUGGGGCCUUGCUCCGCCUAAGUACUGUGUGUUUUCAGCAGUAACAUCACGUAGACGUGAAUGUAGCAGAGCCUCCAGUGAAGCCUCGUUUUCCCAGCCUCCCACCGGGAAGGAGCACCCAGGACUCUCCCUUUGAAUUGGGCACUCUAACAUGAUGGCAACCUCCCAAAAUGGAAAAAAAAAAGCUUUAGGUGUCUUCUCACUCUCCAAAUACCAACAGAAUAUCCAGCAAACAAAAAUCAAAGACUUGUAGUCAUCAGCAGAAAGAGCCAUGAAACCCCACUGACCUCACUGAACCCCACGUUGUUAUGCUUGGAAUGCUCCUAUUAAUCAGAUCCCAAAAUCUCACUUGAUCUGAAGAAGUUAAGCCCAAGGACACCCUCUCUGAAAGAAAGACAUCAAAAAUCUGAACUUGACAUCUUCUCCUUGAGGAGCGCGACACCUUCACAAAGUCCUUCACGUGAGCGCUGACAGAAGCAAAGGCAAAUGUCGCACAAACAGGAGAAACAUCUGAACAAUCCAGACACGGGCAAAGUUUUAAAAACUCUGACCAAGAAAGAACAAUUCCUACACGAGUUCUCCCAACUACUGUAUGAAGGGACACUUUAAGGCAGGUAAGUAGACAAAGGGAAGGUAAUUACUGAUUUGGUU